rnacentral:rRNA from 1 species
AUUGAACGCUGGCGGCAUGCUUUACACAUGCAAGUCGAACGGCAGCGCGGGGCAACCUGGCGGCGAGUGGCGAACGGGUGAGUAAUACAUCGGAACGUACCCAGAAGUGGGGGAUAACGUAGCGAAAGUUACGCUAAUACCGCAUACGUUCUACGGAAGAAAGUGGGGGAUCGCAAGACCUCAUGCUUUUGGAGCGGCCGAUGUCUGAUUAGCUAGUUGGUGAGGUAAAGGCUCACCAAGGCGACGAUCAGUAGCUGGUCUGAGAGGACGACCAGCCAAACUGGGACUGCGACACGGCCCAGACUCCUACGGGAGGCAGCAGUGGGGAAUUUUGGACAAUGGGCGCAAGCCUGAUCCAGCAAUGCCGCGUGAGUGAAGAAGGCCUUCGGGUUGUAAAGCUCUUUUGUCAGGGAAGAAACGGCUGGGGUUAAUACCUCCGGCUAAUGACGGUACCUGAAGAAUAAGCACCGGCUAACUACGUGCCAGCCGCCGCCGUAACAC